ACAAUCAAUUUGUUGAUAACCCACACCCUAAAUCCUUUAUAAAUGGACUAUAAUUUCAUCAAACUGUGGAGGCCCUAUAGUUUUGGUGGCCCAAGGCGCAAGCCUCAUUUGACUUACCCUUGGGCCGGCCCUGCUGGGACUGAGACACAGCCCAGACUCCUACGGGAGGCAGUAGUGGGGAAUUUUCCGCAAUGGGUGAAAGCCUAACAGAGCAAAGCCGCAUGAAGGUAGAAAGCCCAUGGGUCGUGAACUUCUUUGUAUCUGGGGAAUAAGUAUCGGCUAACUCUGUGCUAGCAACCGCGGUAAUACACUAUGUGUGU
rnacentral:lncRNA from 1 species